AGUUGUAUCCUGGCUCAGGAUGAACGCUGGCGAGAUGCUUUACACAUGCAAGUCGUACGCGAGUCUUUGACUCGAGUGGCGGACGGGUGAGUAACACGUAAGAAUUUGCCUUUAGGAGGGGGACAACAACUGGAAACGGUUGCUAAUACCCCAUAUGCUUUCGAGUGAAAUGGAUUUUUUCCGCCUAGAGAGAAGCUUGCGGCUGAUUAGCUUGUUGGUGAGGUAAUGGCUUACCAAGGCGACGAUCAGUAUCUGGUUUGAGAGGACGAUCAGACACACUGGAACUGAGACACGGUCCAGACUCCUACGGGAGGCAGCAGUGGGGAAUUUUCCGCAAUGGGCGCAAGCCUGACGGAGCAAUCUCGCGUGAGGGAUGACUGCCUAUGGGUUGUAAACCUCUUUUUUCAGGGAGGAAUAAAUGACGUGUACCUGAAGAAUAAGCAUCGGCUAACUCCGUGCCAGCAGCCGCGGUAAUACGGAGGAUGCAAGUGUUAUCCGGAAUCACUGGGCGUAAAGCGUCUGUAGGUGGUUUAAUAAGUCAACUGUUAAAUCUUGAGGCUCAACUUCAAAAUCGCAGUCGAAACUAUUAAACUAGAGUAUAGUAGGGGUAAAGGGAAUUUCCAGUGGAGCGGUGAAAUGCGUAGAGAUUGGAAAGAACACCGAUGGCGAAGGCACUUUACUGGGCUAUUACUGACACUCAGAGACGAAAGCUAGGGUAGCAAAUGGGAUUAGAUACCCCAGUAGUCCUAGCUGUAAACAAUGGAUACUAGAUGUUGAACAGAUCGACCUGUGCAGUAUCAAAGCUAACGCGUUAAGUAUCC
rnacentral:rRNA from 1 species